GAGUUUGAUCAUGGCUCAGAUUGAACGCUGGCGGCAUGCCUAACACAUGCAAGUCGAACGGAAACGAUGGAAGCUUGCUUCCAGGCGUCGAGUGGCGGACGGGUGAGUAACACUUAGGAAUCUACCCAGUAGCGGGGGACAACUCGAGGAAACUCGAGCUAAUACCGCAUACGCCCUACGGGGGAAAGCAGGGGAUCUUCGGACCUUGCACUAUUGGAUGAGCCUAAGUCGGAUUAGCUUGUUGGUGAGGUAAAGGCUCACCAAGGCGACGAUCCGUAGCUGGUCUGAGAGGACGAUCAGCCACACUGGGACUGAGACACGGCCCAGACUCCUACGGGAGGCAGCAGUGGGGAAUAUUGGACAAUGGGGGAAACCCUGAUCCAGCAAUGCCGCGUGUGUGAAGAAGGCCUGCGGGUUGUAAAGCACUUUCAGUAGAGAAGAAAAGCCUAGGGAUAAUACCCC
rnacentral:rRNA from 1 species